UCCCCCGCCCCGAGAGCCGGCUGGCUCCAAGCUCCUCCCUGUCACGACGAAUGGUGGCGGGGUUGUGCUGACAGGUGCCAGGCGAAGCACCUCGGAGGGAAGAUUUAUCGUUAUUGUUAUUCCCGAUUAGUUUUUUUUCUUUUUUCUUGUCUUUUACCCAGGGAAGGAAAGAGAAAGACUGCUUGUUCCGUGUGUAUCUGAGUUAUAGCUAAUAUAGCAACAGCAGGAGCCAAUCCCAUUUGAAGCCUCUAAGCAUUAGAGUAAAUCAACAGAUUAAAGUGCUUCAGCUUCUGAUUUUAGAGCCCGGGAAUAAGCUUACAACUUGGAUUAAUGUAUAUAGUAGCUUCACUGGAGGUAUUUAGCCUUCCUAGGGCAUGGGCAGUGGUGAUUUCUGUUUAUGGGACGGGUAAACAUGUAGUUUUUUUCUUUUUCAUGCUUGCCCACAGGCACAGAUAUGGUAUGUUUCAGCUCUGAAACAACAUGUUCAUUUUUGCAGCUCUAAAACCACGAUCACAGAGAAACCAAGUCAGAUCCUGGCUGCUCCGUGCCCCACUGACCUAGGGCCAGCCGGUGAGGAGGGAGCUCCGUGACGCUGCCCGGUGGCAGGAGGCUCGAUCCGGAAGGCUCCGCAGGGACACCCUUGGUGACAGGGCCCAGACCUCACCCAGGGUCACCCCAUGGACAGGUCUGUUUUUCUGGUCCGGCUUGUUUAGCACACAGGAGCCACCCACCUCCUUUCUUUGCUUUCCAGGCUUCAUCAGCACUCAGCCAGACCCUGCAUAAACGUCCUCAAGCCUCAGCUUUGGGGCCCUUAUUGGCUGUAAAAAAAACCAAACCUUUUAAUCUGGGACAAAUUGUGUUGCGUCCCCCCCCACCUGGUAGAGUAAGCAAUCCCACUUCCCCACAGCAAAGCUUAGACCAACAGGCUUCCUAUAUGAACCUGAGCUCAGGCUCUUAUCUCUUCUUCCUCAGGCUCCUUAGGGCUUGCAGGUGUGAGGGGCCCUCCUUCUGAAAAGUUAACCCCUUCUUUUUCUAUCCCCUACCACAGGUUAGAAGGGACCUCUGAAGAUCAUCUACUCCAAACUACUACUACUACACGUAGUUUUGUUACAGUUCUGUAAUAUGCCCCUGGCAAGUCCUUGUUAAUGAAACCAUACUGUAUAAUGCCUAAGGGAUUUACAGGAGUCACAGUGUCUUUAUCAGCCCUAAAGGAGGGAAAGAGGCUCCUCCUAAAGGCGAUUUUGCGGCUCUGCAAAGCUGCGCAGAAAAGGACGGGAAUAUUUUUAAUACUAAUGAAAAUCCUUUGUAAUUGGCUGGAAAUGGUUCUGUGGUCUGCAAAGAUUCCAAUUUUGAAAGCCCCAUUUGAACAAAAGACUAAUCUUUUUCUUCAGUGAACCAUCUGGCACAGAAAAAUGCUCUUUAUUAUGAGAUUUCAUGGGAGAUAUUUCUCUGCAAAAUGGGAGGCUAUCAAGUGUGGAAUUGUCCCAUGGUGUACAGUUGUGUUAUGAUUUCUAUAGAAGACCUUGAAGAGCUUUAGACUCCAGGCAACACUCCAGAACUAUUGACCCCCGAACUGAACGGGCAAAUUCAGAGCCAAAGAGCAGAUGUGAGUCUGGUUGUCAGUCAUUCUGCUGGCUUUCACGAGGUUCAAAAAAAGGCAUUACAGCCACGUCCAUGCAGCAGAGAUCAUCAGCUCCUUGCACGUGAUUACUCUAAGAAGAGGUUUUGUCCUCUCGUUAGAACGGAUCCAAUAGUCUGGUCUCGGGAAAGAAGAAACAAAUGCUGAUAUAGUCAAUUUUGGGGACUCCUAGGGGAGAGAACAAGCUGUACUUUUAUAUGCACAAUAUACUGCCUAAAUGUACCCAAGGUAAAAGGUCGUCCUGUUUUAACUUCGUGAGUUUUAUGCCAAUGAAGUUGAAUCAUAGGGAAAGCGUAGGGAUGUGGGAUCUGGCUGAAAUGUGUUCCCUGUCUCCCGUCUGAGCUGCAUCACAUGGAAGAGGUGGAAGAAGCUGGAUUUGGGCAUGAGUAGUCGAGUACUGCGUCCAGCUCUGGGGUCCCCAGCACAAGCAGGUCAUGCACCUGUUGGAGUGGGUCCAGCUGAGGGCCACGAGAAUGGUCACAGGGCUGGAGCACCUCUCCUGUGAAGACUGGCUGAGGGAGUUGGGGUUGUUCAGCCUGGAGAAGAGAAGGCUCCAGGCAGGCCUUACAGUGGUCUUCCAAUACCUAAAGGGGGCCUGCAGGAGUGAUGGGGAGGAACUCUGUCAGGGAAUGGAGUGACAGGACAAGGGGUAAUUUAGGCUUUAAACUAAAAGAGCAUAUGUUUAGAUUGGAUA